ACUGAACGCUGGCGGCAGGCUUAACACAUGCAAGUCGAGCGGGGUGAUGGUGCUUGCACUAUCACUUAGCGGCGGACGGGUGAGUAAUGCUUAGGAAUCUGCCUAUUAGUGGGGGACAACAUCUCGAAAGGGAUGCUAAUACCGCAUACGUCCUACGGGAGAAAGCAGGGGAUCACUUGUGACCUUGCGCUAAUAGAUGAGCCUAAGUCGGAUUAGCUAGUUGAUGGGGUAAAGGCCUACCAAGGCGACGAUCUGUAGCGGGUCUGAGAGGAUGCUCCGCCACACUGGGACUGAGACACGGCCCAGACUCCUACGGGAGGCAGCAGUGGGGGAUAUUGGACAGUGGGGGGAACCCUGAUCCAGCCAUGCCGCGUGUGUGAAGAAGGCCUUAUGGUUGUAAAGCACUUUAAGCGAGGAGGAGGCUCUUUUGGUUAAUACCCAAGAUGAGUGGACGUUACUCGCAGAAUAAGCACCGGCUAACUCUGUGCCAGCAGCCGCCGUAA
rnacentral:rRNA from 1 species